rnacentral:ncRNA from 1 species
AAGGUGUUCACGAGAGGGAAGGGCUUAUCUUCAAUUUUUGUAUCAACUAAGAAAAUCUCCCUAAUGCCUUUGAUUCAAAACAAAGGAAAUGGCACCAAAAUCCGUAGAUCUACGAAGAAAUGCCAAAAGCGAAGGCUGUUCUUUGGGUCCCUAACAACGCUGGGUGCAAAAGCAUGAGGGAGCAAACAGGAUUAAAUGUCCUGGUAGUCCAUGCCAUAAACGAUGAGUGCCCACCCAUAGCCUGUCUAAUUGCUGAGAGAGCAAAAGUGCUUUUCAUUCC